AAUAAUGAAAGCAUUGGUGAGAAUCCAAUGCCACAAGAACCCAAGGUUUCCUCCUCAAGUUUCAUCCACAAAGGAUGAGUCGGGGCCUAAGAUCAGGCCGAAAGGCGUAAUCGAUGGACAAUAUGUCAAUAUUACUGUACUACCCCUUCUUGGUAUGAAGGGACGGAGGAGGCUAGGUUAGCUGAAAGAUGGUUAUAGGUUUAAGAUCACAUCGAGCCCUACUUUUUAGGUAAGAAGGGGUAGAGAAAAUGCCUCGAGCCAAGGUCCGAGUGCCAAGCGUCGCAACUC
rnacentral:ncRNA from 1 species